UAUAAGUCGCACCAGCCACUAUAUCCAUUAUAAAGAAAAAUAAACCAUAAAUAAGUCGCAUUGGACUAUAACUGGCAUGGACAUACAAGUAUGUUAACUUAACAUGAAAAGUUCAGAUGAUAAUAUUGUGACGGCAAAAGGAAGAAAUGGCGCUACCUUUGAGUUGAGAAGAUUUAUACGGCAGCAUUGCAUUUCCAUUUCCGGUGGCCAUUUAAAAACAUAGAGUGACUCUGUCAUGUAAACUUGUUUUAUUAUGGUAAAUUAACUGAGAAUCUACUGGUAUAUUUUUCAUUUAUAAGUCGCUCUGGAGUAUAGGUCGCACCCCCGGCCAAAACAUGUAAAAAA